AACGAACGCUGGCGGCGUGGAUAAGACAUGCAAGUCGGACGAGAUUUUUCGCUGUAGCAAUACGGUGGAAAGUCUAGUGGCGAACGGGUGCUUAACACGUGGGCAACCUGCCGAGAAGUGGGGGAUAGCUCGCCGAAAGGCGAAUUAAUACCGCAUGUGAUCAGAGAGGACAUCCUUUCGAAAUUAAAGUCGGGGCAACCUGACGCUUCUUGUGGGGCCCGCGGCCUAUCAGCUAGUUGGUGAGGUAACGGCUCACCAAGGCUUUGACGGGUAGCUGGUCUGAGAGGACGACCAGCCACACUGGGACUGAGACACGGCCCAGACACCUACGGGUGGCAGCAGUCGAGAAUUUUUGACAAUGGGGGCAACCCUGAUCGAGCGACGCCGCGUGGAGGAUGAAGGUCUUCGGAUUGUAAACUCCUGUCAUUGGGGAACAAUGCGUGACGGUUAACUGCCGUUGCGUUGAUAGUACCCGAAGAGGAAGAGACGGCUAACUCUGUGCCAGCAGCCGCCGUAAAAC
rnacentral:rRNA from 1 species